GUGCUUGCUUUGACAGCACACACACUAAAAUUGGAAUGAUACAGAGAAGAUUAGCACAGCCCCUGUGCAAGGAUAACAUGCAAAUUUGUGAAGCAUUCCAUAUUUUU
rnacentral:snRNA from 1 species